rnacentral:rRNA from 1 species
CGGGGUGCAGCAGGCGCGAAAACUUUACAAUGCCGGCAACGGCGAUAAGGGAACCUCGAGUGCCAGGUUACAAAUCUGGCUGUCGUGAUGCCUAAAAAGCAUUGCAUAGCAAGGGCCGGGCAAGACCGGUGCCAGCCGCCGCGGUAACACCGGCGGCUCGAGUGGUAACCGUUAUUAUUGGGUCUAAAGGGUCUGUAGCCGGCCGGAUAAGUCUCUUGGGAAAUCUGGCAGCUUAACUGUCAGGCUUUCAGGAGAUACCGUCUGGCUCGAGGCCGGGAGAGGUGAGAGGUACUUCAGGGGUAGGGGUGAAAUCUUGUAAUCCUUGAAGGACCACCAGUGGCGAAGGCGUCUCACCAGAACGGACCUGACGGCAAGGGACGAAAGCUAGGGGCACGAACCGGAUUAGAUACCCGGGUAGUCCUAGCCGUAAACGAUACUCGCUAGGUGUCGGCCACGGUGCGACCGUGGUCGGUGCCGUAGGGAAGCCGUGAAGCGAGCCACCUGGGAAGUACGGCCGCAAGGCGGAAACUUAAAGGAAUUGGCGGGGGAGCACAAGGGCGAUUCGC